AUAGUGUGGAAGUACACGAGUGGCGGACGGCUGAGUAACGCGUAGGAAUGUACCCAAAGUGAGGGAUAAGCACCGGAAACGGUGUCUAAUACCGCAUGUGCUCUAAGGAGUAAAGCUUCGGCGCUUUGGGAACGGCCUGCGUAUGAUUAGCUUGUUGGUGAGGUAAUGGCUCACCAAGGCGACGAUCAUUAGCUGGUCUGAGAGGAUGAUCAGCCAGACUGGGACUGAGACACGGCCCAGACUCCUACGGGAGGCAGCAGUAGGGAAUUUUCCACAAUGGGCGAAAGCCUGAUGGAGCAACGCCGCGUGCAGGAUGAAGGCCUUCGGGUUGUAAACUGCUUUUAUAAGUGAAGAUUAUGACGGUAACUUAUGAAUAAGGAUCGGCUAACUCCGUG
rnacentral:rRNA from 1 species